UACAGAGGUCUCAAGCCUUGUUCGGAUUCAUUGGGCGUAAAGGGUGCGUAGGUGGCGCGCUAAGUCAGGUGUGAAAUCUCGGGGCUUAACUCCGAAACUGCAUUUGAUACUGGCGUGCUUGAGGACUGGAGAGGAGACUGGAAUUCAUGGUGUAGCAGUGAAAUGCGUAGAGAUCAUGAGGAAGACCAGUGGCGAAGGCGGGUCUCUGGACAGUUCCUGACACUGAGGCACGAAGGCCAGGGGAGCAAACGGG
rnacentral:rRNA from 1 species